rnacentral:rRNA from 1 species
UCGGUAACGCCCGAAGUCAGUGACCCAACCGCAAGGAGGGAGCUGCCGAAGGCGGGACUGGUAACUGGGGUGAAGUCGUAACAAGGUACC